rnacentral:lncRNA from 1 species
AAAAGUCACCAGUGAGAUCCAGUCUCUGCACAAAUACACUCCCUGGCUGAGGCCACGGGUCAGAAGGGCGCUGGUGAAGUCUGCGCUCGCCCCUCUGCAGAAGCCACACCCCGCGGCCUGGCUGGAAGGCCACCGGCUGAGCAGGAGGGGAACUCGGAACUCCAGCGGGCUCCCUUCAUCCUUUCUUUCUGGAGGAAACGGUUGGGAGAUCCCAGGAUGGAAUAUGGAAUGUCACAGAAGAACCUGACUGCAUCAUGAAUGCAUGAAACAGCCUCACUGAAGAUGGUGCGGGGAAGCUGCUGACCUGGGUGGAUUUGGAAAUGAGUGGAGUCCGUGAGACUAAAGGAAGGAAGCUCUGACACAUACCAGGACGCGGAUGAACCAUGAAGACAUUAGGCUAAGUGAAAUAGUAAGCCGGAUGCAAAAGAACACAUAAUAUGAUUCCACUUACAUGGGGUCCCUGGAGGAGGCAAAUCAUGGAGAGGGAAGUUUGAGAUUACAAGAACAUAGCCUCUGUGAGAGCUUCUGCUGUAAGACUCAGCCGACUCCGUGAACCCUGCGCCCCCAGCCCACCCGGAGCUCGAGACCCAGAGGCCGGCCAGCUCCGCCCUCUCACUCGGGGAGCGCAAGCGUCUGUCGUCCAGUCUGGAAAGCUCUCUGUCUGCGGGUGUGAAGAGGCUCUGUACCCAGCUGGAGGAACUAAGCAGGAAACCUGUUUGGACUCUUUAUCUAAGGACCUUUAUCACAAACAAUGUGAAAAAUAGGCUGACUCCAGCAAAAGCUUUCUGAGCAGCUCUGUGACCCGUAAGGCCUGGUAGAUGGACUGGCUUCCUCGUCCUCGCCCCUAGAGCCAUGUCACCGCUAUGGGGAGGCUUUGGAAGGAAAUGACUUGGGCAUUCUUGAGAAGCUGAGGACAGAUAAGGACAUGAGUCAUAAGUGGCUCCAUAAUAACAAUCACAGUGCAUUUCAUCCUAAAUCUACAUUAAUGAAUAUGAGAAGAUUUAAGGGGACGGGGGUGGACACUGGAGGAAGGAUGGACUCACCAACAGGGAGGCAGUGGUCAUAUGGUGGCCAUCUGACCUUUACCUGGCCCUUCAAGGCAGCCCGAGUCUCCCAGCAUGCCCAGCGGUGGCCUGGACUCCCUUGCUUGAUCCUGGGAUUCUCCCAGCAUGCACAGUGGUGGCCUGGACUCCUCCCCAUCUUGAUCCUGGGAUUCUCCCAGCAUGCACAGUGGUGGCCUGGACUCCUCCCCAUCUUGAUCCUGGGAUUCUCCCAGCAUGCACAGUGGUGGCCUGGACUCCUCCCCAUCUUGAUCCUGGGAUUCUCCCAGCAUGCACAGUGGUGGCCUGGACUCCUCCCCAUCUUGAUCCUGGGAUUCUCCCAGCAUGCGCAGUGGUGGCCUGGACUCCUCCCCAUCUUGAUCCUGGGAUUCUCCCAGCAUGCACAGCGGUGGCCUGGACUCCUCCCUAUCUUGAUCCUGGGAUUCUCCCAGCAUGCACAGCAGUGGCUAGACCCUCCCUGGGGGUGGAAAUGCAGGCCAGCUGCCCCAGAGGCUCCUUGCUCUUCUAUGAAAAGAAGGAUGAGCUCCAAGCCUUCUGCUAGAGUAUACUGCACAAUACUGUAGCCACACUUAGCUAUUACAUUUAAAUUCAAAUUAAUUAGUUAAAUAAAAUUUAAAAUUCAAUUCUUCAGCCACACUAGCCAUAUUUCAAAGGUUCAAUAGCCACUGUAUUGGACAGUGCAGACCUAGAACAUUCCAUAUUAGCAGGAAGUUCUGUUCACAGAGUUCUCCUGGGGCAAAGCUCUGAUUCUGACCUCAGGGCCACCGUCUCCCAGUCUGGGUGGCGAGGUCGCCUCGAGGAUCAGUUGCUUCACAUCUCCUCAGUGGCCCUGCAGCACUGAGCAAUUCCAGAAGCAAGAGGAAAAGCUCAAGAGGGCUCCCCCUUCCUGCCCUCUGCUCAGUGGAUUUUUCCGGAAUAUCCCCCAGUGUGUGAGCAACAAAUGAAACUGCAGCCUUGUUGGUGUCCCAGGAAAAUGGAGGGCAGCUGGAGAAGGCUGGCUGGAGGGAAUGAGGCUGCCAGCCCCCUGCUGGGGAGUGACCUCAGAUGACGUAAAUCCACCUUCACUAAUUCAAGCUCCAGCACCACGCACUGAAGGCAUGGAGCGCCCUUCCCCUCCCCAAGCCUCCAUAAUUGCUUUAUUCUUAUGCCAGAAUUUUAUCUGUGUUGAAAUUUUCUUUUUUACAUCCUAUUAAAAGUGUUAAUAAACUGUAUUUAAGACCUUACUUUGCAAUUAUGUUGAGUAGACUAAAUAAAUCAACACUGGCUCUUAGUCUGUUCAAGGGAAAAAACUGAACUCCUGCUAAUUUAACAAAUAUUUUGAAAAGUCAGAGCUGAUAAACGUUUUAAUUGUCUCCAAAAUAAGCAUAUUUAAUUU